rnacentral:rRNA from 1 species
CAGACGGGUGAGUAACGCGUGGGAACAUACCCUUUGGUUCGGAAUAACUCAGGGAAACUUGAGCUAAUGCCGGAUACGCCCGCUGAGCAAUUGGCGGGGAAAGAUUUAUUGCCGGAGGAUUGGCCCGCGUUCGAUUAGCUAGUUGGCGGGGUAAUGGCCCACCAAGGCGACGAUCGAUAGCUGGUCUGAGAGGACGACCAGCCACACUGGGACUGAGACACGGCCCAG